CCUACGGGGAGCAGCAGUGGGGAAUAUUGGACAAUGGGCGAAAGCCUGAUCCAGCCAUGCCGCGUGUGUGAAGAAGGCCUUCGGGUUGUAAAGCACUUUCAGUGGGGAAGAAAGCCUUGGGGCUAAUACCCUCGAGGAAGGACAUCACCCACAGAAGAAGCACCGGCUAACUCCGUGCCAGCAGCCGCGGUAAUACGGAGGGUGCGAGCGUUAAUCGGAAUUACUGGGCGUAAAGCGCGCGUAGGCGGUCUGAUAAGCCGGUUGUGAAAGCCCCGGGCUCAACCUGGGAACGGCAUCCGGAACUGUCAGGCUAGAGUGCAGGAGAGGAAGGUAGAAUUCCCGGUGUAGCGGUGAAAUGCGUAGAGAUCGGGAGGAAUACCAGUGGCGAAGGCGGCCUUCUGGACUGACACUGACGCUAAGGUGCGAAAGCGUGGGUAGCAAACAGGAUUAGAUACCCCUGUAGUC
rnacentral:rRNA from 1 species